rnacentral:rRNA from 1 species
UGAGGAAUAUUGGUCAAUGGGGGCAACCCUGAACCAGCCAAGUCGCGUGAAGGAUGAAGGUCUUAUGGAUUGUAAACUUCUUUUACACGGGAAUAAAGUGGGGGACGUGUCCCCCUUUGCAUGUACCGUGUGAAUAAGGAUCGGCUAACUCCGUGCCAGCAGCCGCGGUAAUACGGAGGAUCCGAGCGUUAUCCGGAUUUAUUGGGUUUAAAGGGUGCGCAGGCGGGAUUUUAAGUCAGCGGUGAAAUUUUGCAGCUCAACUGUAAAAGUGCCUUCGAUACUGGCCUCCUUGAGUGUGGAUGAAGUAGGCGGAAUUUGUGGUGUAGCGGUGAAAUGCUUAGAUAUCACGAGGAACUCCGAUUGCGCAGGCAGCUUACUAAGCCACAACUGACGCUCAUGCACGAAGGCGUGGGGAUCAAACA